rnacentral:rRNA from 1 species
AACGAACGCUGGCGGCAGGCUUAACACAUGCAAGUCGAACGGGUGAGUGUAGCAAUACAUCUCAUCAGUGGCAGACGGGUGAGUAACACGUGGGAACCUUCCUCGUUGUACGGAACAACUCAGGGAAACUUGAGCUAAUACCGUAUAAGUCCGAGAGGAGAAAGAUUUAUCGCAAUGAGACGGGCCCGCGUCGGAUUAGCUAGUUGGUGGGGUAACGGCCUACCAAGGCGACGANCCGUAGCUGAUCUGAGAGGAUGAUCAGCCACACUGGGACUGAGACACGGCCCAGACUCCUACGGGAGGCAGCAGUGGGGAAUCUUGGACAAUGGGCGCAAGCCUGAUCCAGCCAUGCCGCGUGAGUGAAGAA